GUCUUUAUGUUUAUUUAUAAAGUCUGGCCUGCCCACUGAAUUUUAAAGGGCCGCGGUAUUUUGACCGUGCAAAGGUAGCAUAAUCAUUAGUCUUUUAAUUGAAGGCUUGAAUGAAUGGUUGGACAAAAAAUAGACUGUCUCAACCAAAUAAAUUGAACUUAACUUUUAAGUAAAAAGGCUUAAAUAAUUUAAAGUGACGAUAAGACCCUAUAAAACUUGAUAAAUAAUAUUAAAAAUGAGCAUUAGUUAGCUAAAUCUUUUUUUGUAAAGUUUAUUUUAUUGGGGCGAUAAAAAUAUAAAUAGUAACUGUUUUUAAAAUUUUAAUGGUAGUAAACAAAAAUAUUAAAUGAUCCUUUAAUAAAGAUUAUAAGAUUAAGUUACUUUAGGGAUAACAGCGUAAUUUUCUUUGAGAGUUCAUAUCUACAAGAAAGAUUACGACCUCGAUGUUGAAUUAAAAAAUCUUCAAGGUGUAGCAGCUUUGAAAGAAGGUCUGUUCGACCUUUAAAAUUUU
rnacentral:rRNA from 1 species